rnacentral:tRNA from 1 species
CUGGGUGUAGCUCAGUUUGUCCAGAGUCCUCCCCUCGGAAGGGAGACGCCGUUGGUUAGAAUCCGGCCACCCCGA